rnacentral:misc_RNA from 1 species
AGUCGUAACAAGGUUUCCGUAGGUGAACCUGCGGAAGGAUCAUUAGAAAAGGGUCCCCGGAAAGGGGGAUAAUACAAUGAAAUUGACGGAUAUGAGGUGCAGUGAAGAACGGUCUACUCAAACAUGAUUUAUAUGGAUGGUGGUUUAAUGGUUUAAUAUCCAAUGUACAAAUUCAUGGGGCACUUUACUGGGAGUUUCCCACCUUUGAGGGGGGAGGGGUAUCCCCUUCAUAAAUAGGAAACGGUUUAUGAAACAACUUUUUGAAAAGUCUUACAUUCUUUACAUUCUUAAUUGAACGUAAAAAUAUUAAAUCAUAAAUAACUUUUAACAACGGAUCUCUUGGCUCUC